UGGGCGUCUGCAAACCCUUAGCUGCUCUGCCCGGGCGGACCUCCGUGACCACCACCACGGGCGGACGAGGACGCAGUGACCGUGUCAAAAAAGGCCACGGUGUCUCUUGGGAAAACUGCUCCAUGAACCCUGAGUUAUGUCCCCGUCUCCCGUGGCCACUGCAACAAAGUCCACAACCGGCUCUCCUUCUGCUUCUAAGGGCACCGGCCAUUGGGCUAGGACCCCCUGGAAUCCAUUCGGACCUCCUCUGAACCUGUGCGGAGACCCUAUUUCCAAACAAGGUCAUGUUCACAGGGGCUGGGGCUUGGGCCUUUGGACACCGUCGAAGCCACACCAUGCCGCCACCCACGUGGUCCGGCUCCCGUGAGGCCGCCACGUGGGGGAGAGGCCCCGGCAGCUCCAUCCGCCGCACUUGGGGCCUUGGCCCAGGCAGCAGACGGACGGGGCGGGGCGGGGGGAGGAGCCACCACCCGCCUGGGACCGCGCUCGACACGACACGCGUCACGAGAACUGCCCGCGGAGCCCGCUUCACCUCCAGACCCACGAGCAGAAGGAGCCACGCUGUUGCGCGAACCACCGGUUUGGGGGGCACCGGGUAACGCACGCCCUGUCCCGCUUUCCACAAAGGCCACCGGCUGUCCGUUCCCCCAGCCGAGUCCGGGGUCGCCUCUUCCGUCCUGCCUCACCCUCCGCAUCGACUGAGCGUUACCACGCGCGACAUUUUUUUCAGGCUUAUUUAUUUAUUUUGAGAGAGAACGAGAACCAGCAGGGGAGGGGCGGAGAGAGAGAGAAUCGGGCCCUUCCAUCCAGCAAACCCAACCGGGAGCCAGAGGCAGAGACCCCACGGAUGUGGCCCAUACGGGGCAGCUCCCAGGGCACGACGCAGACAGGAGGGGCAGAAGGACAAGCCAGGGGAGACGUCCAGGGAAGUCUGACGAUGAACCCGCCAAGGUCAUCCUGUCAGCAGCUGCUGAGAUAUCUGGGCAUCUAGGGCUGGAACAAACCUCCCCCGAGGCUUCUUAGUCUUUGGGAGGAAGCGGGGCCCCACCGAAGAUCUGAUAAAAUCCAGGGUUUCCUCGCAGCAAUCAUGGAGGAACCCCUGUUCCUCCAGCUCCCAUCGCCUCCAGUUCCCAGCAGCACAAACACCACUUGAAACAGCUUUCUGCCAGAAAGGGAAUUGACCGUCUCACGGAGCGGGUGUCAGCCGAUGUCCAGGUGCCAACAGGAUGUCAGGGAACAGAGUUGGGAAGAGAAACAUCCUAGCACAUCACCACGUGGCACCAGCUGGAUAGAGCGGACACAACCUCCAGAGCAGAGAUUAAAAAA